UUUCUCUUUUAGAUUGUAUAAGCUCGAUGUAUGGUGCCCUGUUUUGGACAUUUAAUAAUAGUCGAAAGUAUAUUUCGACUUUUUGGAAACUAUAAUUCUUUCCAUUACCGGAGAUCAUAGCCGAAGUUCUGCUAAAGCGGCAUACGAGAAUUAGAAUAAAUACUCGCAACGGUUAUAAUCAGAGUAAUGUUUGACACUUGUGAGGAUUAAAGUGAAGCUGGUGAGGAUUAAAGUUGAAACUCGCGAGGAUUAAAGUUGAAGUUUGUGAGGAUUAAAGUUGAAGCUCGCGAGGAUUAAAGUUGAAGCUGGUAAGGAUUAAAGUUGAAACUCGCGAGGCUUAAAUUGAAGCUGGUAAGGAUUAAAGUUGAAACUCGCGAGGCUUAAAGUGAAGCUGGUGAGGAUUAAAGUUGAAACUCGCGAGGAUUAAAGUUGGAGUUUGUGAGGAUUAAAGUUGAAGCUCGCGAGGAUUAAAGUUGAAGCUGGUAAGGAUUAAAGUUGAAACUCGCGAGGCUUAAAGUGAAGCUGGUGAGGAUUAAAGUUGAAACUCGCGAGGAUUAAAGUUGGAGUUUGUGAGGAUUAAAAUUGAGGCUUGAGAGGAUUAAAUUGAAGUCAAACGUUAAAUCACAGUAUGGUUGCUCCACAAUAAUGAUAAAUAUCGCUACUAAAGUGACUUAAUCAAAAUCUUGCAUAUCAACAGACGACAUUUUAACUGACCAAAACAGAACACCCUAACUUUGGUUCGAAUAAUAAUUAGAUGCAUAUCAAGUUAAUGCAUAAUUUCAACGUAAAACAUGAUUGUCUUAAACUACCCUAACUGUAUAAAUGUAAAUGCUAUCUUUUGUAUAUAAAUAUAACUAAGAUAUUGAUAAA